rnacentral:rRNA from 1 species
GAUGAACGCUGGCGGCGUGCCUAAUACAUGCAAGUCGAGCGAACAGAUGAGGAGCUUGCUCCUCUGACGUUUGCGGCGCACGGGUGAGUAACACGUGGAUACCCUACCUAUAAGACUGGGAUAACUUCGGGAAACCGGAUCUAAUACCGUAUAAUAUAUUGAACCGUAUUGUUCAAUAGUGAAAGACGGUUUUGCUGUCACUUCUAGAUGGAUCCCCGCCGCAUUAGCUAGUUGGUAGGCUAACGGCUUACCAAGGCAACGAUGCGUAGCCGACCUGACAGGGUGAUAGGCCACACGGGAACUGAGACACGGUCCAGACGACUAAGGGAGGGAGCAGUAGGGAAUGUGCCGCAAUGGGCGAGAGCCUGACGGAGCAGCGCCGAGUGAGAGAUGAAAGUCUUCGGAUAGUAAAACCGUGUUAUUAGGGAAGAACAAAUGUGUAAGUAAAUAUGCACGUAGUGACGGUACCUAAACAGAAAGCCACGGCUAACUACGUG